UACGUAGGGGGCAAGCGUUGUCCGGAAUCAUUGGGCGUAAAGAGCGUGUAGGCGGCCUGAUAAGUCGGCUGUGAAAGUCAAGGGCUCAACCCUUGAAUGCCGGCCGAUACUGUCAGGCUAGAGUCCGGAAGAGGCGAGUGGAAUUCCUGGUGUAGCGGUGAAAUGCGCAGAUAUCAGGAGGAACACCAAUUGCGAAGGCAGCUCGCUGGGACGUAACUGACGCUGAGACGCGAAAGCGUGGGGAGCAAACAGG
rnacentral:rRNA from 1 species